GGAAGGAGGAGGCAGGCAGAGUGUUCUCUGCAACAGAAGACCCCUUGCUGCCCUGCUCAACCCAGACCAGCAUUUGCCAGGAUCAUCAUCUACAAUGUGAACAACAAGAAGAUAGUGCCUUACGUACAGCACAACAAGCUGCAUACCCAAGCAGGAUGAAGGCUAUCUGGUUGUAUGGGACUCACAACUCCAUGGGUGCUACUAGCGAAGCGUCUGAUAAUCAAAAGUAUACCAGCUCUGAACCUGCAGAUUCCGUCCCUGACUAUCAUGGUUUACAGCCAUUGAUUGACCUGUCUUCCAAAAUGGCUAAUUCUGUUAGAAAGCCAUCUAUGUGUGAAUUAAUUCUACUGAUUAUGCAUUGCAUAAAGAAGAUUUUCCAAUUGUUUGUUCAGUAGCCACUGCCAAUCAAUCU